rnacentral:rRNA from 1 species
AGCUUGGGAACUACUGCCAUAAAGGCACCAGAUUCUGUCUAAUCUUGGAUGCUAAAUAGGGUUAGAUCUGGUUGGUACUUGAAUGGAAGACCACCAGUGAAUAUCAGAUGCUGUAGAUC